UCGGGAAUAUUGCGCAAUGGAGGAAACUCUGACGCAGUGACGCCGCGUAUAGGAAGAAGGUUUUCGGAUUGUAAACUAUUGUCGUUAGGGAAGAAAAAAGACAGUACCUAAGGAGGAAGCUCCGGCUAACUACGUGCC
rnacentral:rRNA from 1 species